UACGGAGGGGGCUAGCGUUGUUCGGAAUUACUGGGCGUAAAGCGUACGUAGGCGGCUUUGUAAGUUAGAGGUGAAAGCCCGGGGCUUAACCCCGGAAUUGCCUUUAAGACUGCAUCGCUUGAAUCAUGGAGAGGUGAGUGGAAUUCCGAGUGUAGAGGUGAAAUUCGUAGAUAUCAGGAGGAACACCGGUGGCGAAAGCGGCUUCCUGGCCCGACACUGACGCUCAUGUACGAAAGCGUGGGGAGCAAACAGG
rnacentral:rRNA from 1 species